GACCCAGUGGUGCAAUGUCCAGCACGUCUGCACAAUUUGAACAUACAUUGUAAAUUUCUGCAGGAGCCCCCUGUUCGAUUCGGGGCUGGGUCA